rnacentral:tRNA from 1 species
GGGAAUGUGGCUUAGUGGUAGAGUGCUUGCCUAUCAUGCAUGAAGCCCUGGGUUCGAUUCCUCAAUACCA